AGUAAUAAGAGUUUGAUCCUGGCUCAGAAUGAACGCUAGUGAUUAGCCUAACACAUGCAAGUCGUAUUUAUUGGCGAACGGGUGAGUAAUACAUAAAAAUUAAUCUUAAAUAUAUAAGAAAAGUUUAUGUAAGAUUAGGUUGUUGGGAUAUUUAAUAGACUUUCCAAGCUUAUGAUCUUUAGCUGGUCUUUGAGGAUGAACAGCCACAUUGGAACUGAAACACGGUCCAAACUCUAUUAAGAGGCAGCAGUGGGGAAUUUUAGGCAAUGAGCGAAAGCUUGACCUAGCUAAAUCACGUGUGUGAAGAAAGUUAUUAACUGUAAAACACUUUAUAUAACUUUGUAAUAAUGAUUAGGUUAUAAAAAAACCCUGGCUAAUUUCGUGCCAGCAGCCGCGGUAAAACGAGAAGGGUAAGCGUUAUUCGGAUUUAUUGGGCAUAAAGGAUACGUAGGUGGAAAAUUAACUAAGACUAUAAAGCUAGAAGUUUAUUAACUAGAUAAAGUAUUAAAGUAAUUUUCUUGAGUUUAGUGUGAAGAUUAUGGAAUUUCAAGUGGAGCGGUAAAAUGCGUUGAUAUUUGAAGGAACCUCAAUAGCGUAAGCAUUAAUCUAGACUAAAACUGACACUGAGGUAUGAAAGCAUGGGGAGCAAAAGGGAUUAGAUACCCCUGUAGUCCAUGCCCUCAACGAUGAGCGUUAUUUUUUGGAUAACUUAAAUUCAGAAAAAAAAUUAAUAUGUUAAACGCUCCGCCUGGGAACUACGAUCGCAAGAUUAAAACUCAAAGGAAUUGACGGGGACCUGCACAAGUAGUGGAGCAUGUGGUUUAAAUCGAUAAUACGCGCGAAACCUUACCAAUUUUUGUAUGAAUUUAUCACAGGAGUUGCAUGGCUGUCGUCAGUCCGUGCUGUGAAGCGUUUGGUUUAUUCCAACAAACGGACGAAACUCUUUUAUAUUUUUGUUUUAUACUUAAUAUAUAUCGCUAAGGACAUCUUAGAAGAAAGAAAGAAUAACGUCAAGUCCUUAUGACCUUAAUAAAUUGGGCUACUUUCAUGUGCUACAAUAAUAUUUUCAAUUUAAAGUAAGUAAUGAUAAUUAAAGCAAAAUUUAAAAAAUAUUAGCCGGAUUGUUCUCUGCAACUCGAGAAUAUGAAGUUGGAAUUACUAGUAAUCGUAAAUAAGAAUGUUACGGUGAAUUAGUUCUCAGGUCUUGUACACACCGCCCGUCACGCUAUGGGAUUUUUUUUAUUUGAAAAGCAUUAUUUUAAUUAUGCUUUACGGUAAAAAAUAAACUGAAGUGAAGUCGUAACAAGGUAGCCGUAGGGGAACCUGUGGCUGGAAAAUAAAACUA
rnacentral:ncRNA from 1 species